rnacentral:rRNA from 1 species
AGCAUAUCAUUAAGCGGAGGAAGAGAAACUAACAAGGAUUCCUUAGUAACGGCGAGUGAACAGGGAAGAGCCCAGCACGAAGCCUGUGGUCAUUUGAUCACCAGGCAAUGUGGUGUUCAGGUCGUUCCGCGGAGGCACUGCUCCACCCUAAGUCCAAUAAUGAGAACGGUUUCUCGGACAUGGCCCAUGGAGGGUGAAAGGCCCGUGGGGGUGGAGAUCAGGUUGGCCAGUGCUGCUCUGGGGAGACCUUGGAGUCGGGUUGUUUGUGAAUGCAGCCCAAAGCGGGUGGUAGACUCCAUCCAAGGCUAAAUACAACACGAGUCCGAUAGCGAACAAGUACCGUGAGGGAAAGUUGAAAAGUACUCUGAAGAGAGAGUAAACAGUGCGUGAAGCCGUUCAGAGGUAAACAGAUAGAGUUGAACUGUGAGUUCCGAUGGUUCAGCUGGUGACUUUGGUUGAGCUUGGUCAAAAUGGUUGGGCUUUGAGGUCUGUGUAGCAACAGGUUCUUGCCUUCGGGUGAGAAUGCGCGAUGCACUCGUCGAGUGUUGUGCGCCUCAGAUGUCCCGAGCCGAGUCGCCAGUGCAUUCCGUCGGGACGGUCACCACGACCGGCACUAUCGUCUGUCUUUUGUGGUUAAACCGUGCGUGCUUCGUCCUUGUGGCUUUGUGCGUGCGGGAUGGCAGGUAGCUCAUUGGUUUGUUUACAAGCCUUUGGGUGAAAUAGCUGACUGCAAUUUGACUGUGCGUUGUGCCGGGGACGGCGGCUUGAGGUGUGUGCGUGUGUGCUAGUUUGCUGGCGUAUCCGUGUCAGGUUGCUCAGUUGCUCACCUAGUGGGCCAAGCGGCGA